rnacentral:rRNA from 1 species
GACGAACGCUGGCGGCGUGCUUAACACAUGCAAGUCGAGCGGUAAGGCCCUUUCGGGGGUACGACGAGCGGCGAACGGGUGAGUAACACGUGGGUGACCUGCCCUUAGCUCUGGGAUAAGCCUGGGAAACUGGGUCUAAUACCGGAUAUGACUCCAUAACGCAUGUUGUGGGGUGGAAAGCCUUGUGCGGCUAGGGAUGGGCCCGCGGCCUAUCAGCUUGUUGGUGGGGUGAUGGCCACCAAGGCGACGACGGGUAGCCGGCCUGAGAGGGCGACCGGCC